UUAGAUGUGGGAGGAGUCGGCUCCGGCACCUACAAGUUCGCUUCACAAAGGAGCAAAGAGGAUCGCUACACUUUCAGCAUACACAGUGUCACCUGCAAACGUUAUGGAUUUAUAUUAUCAACCACACCUCCCUUAAGCUUUAAAUUCAAAAAUCAGUUGGACAUCCUGCCAAGUCACUACAACUACUCCACAAAGAAUGACUACGAAGAGUUCAUACAGACCUAUGGCACACACUAUUUCAGACUGGUUCAUCUUGGAGGGCGACUGAGACGAAUGACAUCUUCACGAAGCUGCUUGUCCUCCCUGAAUGGAUUAACCUCAAGUGAGGU